rnacentral:lncRNA from 1 species
UUUAAAUUGAGAAAUUAAAUGUUUUAUCAUGUUUCAUGCAUCAUGAUUAUGCAAUAGGGUGUUUGCAUUAGUUUUCACGAAUAUGCCGCAUUGCAUCGAUUGUUGUUGAUGUGGGUGAAUGUUGGAUGACCCAAUUAGUCCAUGACAUGAAGACCAGGACCCCAUUCUACGGCCUGGCACAGAGUAAGGAAAGACCAGAACCCCAUUCUACGGC